CUUGGUUGAGCCUCAGCCACAGAGCUGUAGAAAACACCCCCAAGCUGUCCACUAACCCACGGGUGGCCAUGUGCUUCCAGUACUGCCUGCAGGGCUGCGGGCUCCCAGAGAGAUCAGGUGCACUUGGCAGUGGGUGCCGACAGUGGCUUUGAAAGGGUAUGCUUCCAGCACAUGUUGACAGAAGCAGGCUCCAGGGUGAGACAGUGAAGGGCUGAGAUGCUCCAGAUAAGUUGGCCUAAGACCCCAGGAGGGGAGAGAGUGAGAUGAGCAGGCUUCUUUGCCCCUCAGUAAUGUGGGGAAGGCCAGGUCAGCAAGCCAUGGGGGUCUGUGCAUGUCUGGACAGGCCUGGCUUUAUUACAGCUCUGCAGGCCAUUCAGAGUUCUGGCUUGACCCAUCAUGGCCACUGCUGUGCAGUAACCCAGCACCUUCCCAGUGUGCCUGCUACAGUGGUCUGGGGAGGGACACCCGGAACCCGAAAGGCUGUGGCCUCCACUAUCCACAUGCCUGGCUCCCUGUGUGUGCUGCUCCUGCCUGGCACAGCCCCAGGGAGAGCCUGCCUCAAGAGUGGCCCCUCAGGCCAUAGGGUUGUGGGGUGGCACUGGCAGACCAUUCUCUAGAGGCACAGUGGUUCUAGAGUCAGUCUUGGCAGGGCUGACACUCAGGAGAGGGUGGUGAAUGUUGUUGGGCUGAAGCAGAACCCUGUUUGCAUGUUCCGAGACAUUGGCAUGUUUGGGACAUGAUUUAGGCAUUUAACAUGUCCCAUCUGCUCCCGUGUUGUCGGAUACCCACCAUGUCCUCACUAGGGCAAAAGCUUCUGACCAGCAGGCCCCUCUGCCCCAGUGCCUGGUGGUGAUGGUGAC
rnacentral:lncRNA from 1 species